GCUGGAAUAGCUCAGUUUGUUAGAGCGUUUGACUGCUAACCUCGAGGUUGGUGGUUCGACCUCUCCUUCUAGCG
rnacentral:tRNA from 1 species